rnacentral:rRNA from 1 species
GACGAACGCUGGCGGCGUGCUUUACACAUGCAAGUCGAACGAUGAUGAGUGCUUGCACUUUGAUUAGUGGCGAACGGGUGAGUAACACGUGAGUAACCUGCCUCAGACUCUGGGAUAACUCCGGGAAACCGGGGCUAAUACUGGGUGUGACAUCUCCUCGCAUGUGGGGGUGUGGACAGAUUUUUUGGUCUGGGAUGGGCUCGCGGGCUAUCAGCGUGUUGGUGGGGUGAUGGCCUACAAAGGCGAUGACGGGUAGCCGACCUGAGAGGGUGACCGGCCACACUGGGGCUGAGACACGGCCCAGACGCCUACGGGAGGCAGCAGUGGGGAAUAUUGCACAAUGGGCGCAAGCCUGAUGCAGCGACGCCGCGUGAGGGAUGACGGCCUUCGGGUUGUAAACCUCUUUCAGCAGGGAAGAAGCGUAAGUGACGGUACCUGCAGAAGAAGCGCCGGCUAACUACGUGCCAGCCGCCGCCGUAAGAC